AAUCGCUGUCUAUACUUCACUCUCAGUCUCAUCUCAUCUCAUCAUUGUCUCUCUCACUCUCUCGUUUCGUUGUUCAUCUUCAUCUUCCGCACCGAUCGUCUCACUCUCUCAUCGCACCGAUCUAUUCACGGGGCUGUUGAUCACCAAUAUGAGGGUAAUAUCUUUGCCACAGCUGGAGCUCAAGUAGAUAUAUGGGAUCAUAAUAGGUCCCAGCCUGCGAAUAGCUUUGAGUGGGGAAAAGACACAGUUAUAUCUGUUCGAUUUAAUUCUGGGAAACCAAAUAUCUUGGCCACAUCAGCUAGAUUCUUGGAGGUAUCUGGGAAAAUAAAAUUAGUGGGAAACUAGUAUUGGGUUUUGGAGUGAUCUGGUCGUCAGCUACAACAGUUUUGACACCUAUUGCUGCCAGAGUUGGGCUUCCUUUCUUGAUUGUCAUGUGUGCCUUUAUGGGGAUUGGUGAGGAGAGUGAGGAAGAAGUCACUAACACUGAGCAAGCUGAAAACUGGUUUUCAUUGACGUAUGCCCAACGCAUAUGUGGUGGGUACUUUGAAUUUAUCAAGUUUUGAUACAUGUUGAGUUCCUGGUAUCUUUUUUCUUGUUCUCAUAUUGUUCUUUAAAUUGAUCUUAUUCUGCACCUGAUAACUUUGUGAUACACUACUAGUAUUGAAGUGCGACACCCAUACUUUAUGGUUUGUAUCAUAUGCUAGAGCAUGUGAGUAAUACUGUUGAAAUGUGAAAAGGGAUUUGAAAUUGACUAUCUGACACCACGUGAUAUAAAAAUUAAUUGGCGAGUAAGGUACAAAUGUGUAGAUUGGAAGGGCCAAAUGGUUAUCACCUCUAAUUGUUGAUAUUUGUAGAUGAAAUGAUUUAAUUUGUCAGGUUUCCACUUUUCAGGCCAAAUGGUUUCCACAACAGCUGAUAUUCACACACUUUUCAGGUAAAAUUUCUUUGUUCAGCUUUCCAUUUUUUUAAUUGGGGAGAACUUUUUUUUCUUCAAUUAUUCUUUUGUGCUUAGUUUGGUUGCUGAGAAUGUAUGUUAGAAUUUUGGAAUUCUCUUUUUCUCUUCGGAAACUAAAUAGAGUGAAAUCCUAGCAUGGAAGAAAAGGGAGAGAAGCAUCACCAAGUUGAGAUGUUUCUUGAUUCAAUCUUCCUACAUACUGCAUAUAGGAACCAUAGUCGAAAGUCAAUAUGGUUACUCUGUCUUGCCUUGAACCUAUUGGUGGAAUACUUAAAU